AGUCUCCUCGACGAGGGCCACCCCCUGCUCCACGGCACCCAGUCCCAUCGACCACCCAAGGGCUGAGGAGUGCGGGCGCACGCAGGGGACUGGCAGGCAGCUCCACCUGCAGCCCCGGUGCGGGAUUCACCGGGUGAAGCCAGCUGGGCUCCUGAAUCUGGUGGGGCUUUGGAGAACCUUUACAAUCCCUGAGCUAGACAUAAAUACACCAAUCGGCACUCUGUAUCUAGCUCAAGGUUUGUAAACACACCAGUCAGCACCCUGUGUCUAGCUCAGGGUUUGUAAACACACCAGUCAGCACCCUGUGUCUAGCUCAGGGUUUGUGAGUGCACCAAUUGACACUCUGUAUCUAGCUGCUCUGGUGGGGCCGUGAAGAACCUUUAUGUCUAGCUCAGGGAUUGUAAAUACACCAAUCGGCACUCUGUAUCUAGCUCAAGGUUUGUAAACACACCAAUCAGCACCCUGUGUCUAGCUCAGGGUUUGUGAGUGCACCAAUGGACACUCUGUAUCUAUCUGCUCUGGUGGGGCCUUGGAGAACCUUUGUGUGGAUACUCUGUAUCUAAUCUGAUGGGGACGUGGAGAACCUUUGUAUCCAGCUCAGGGAUUGUAAACGCACCAAUCAGCGCCCUGUCAAAACAGACCACUGGGCUCUACCAAUCAGCAGGACGUGGGUGGGGCCAGAUAAGAGAAUGAAACCAGGCUGCCCCAGCCAGCAGUGGCAACCCGCUUGGGUCCCCUUCCACACUGUGGAAGCUUUGUUCUUUUGCUCUUUGCAAUAAAUCUUGCUACUGCUCACUCUUUGGGUCCAUGCUGCUUUUAUGAGCUGUAACACUCACCACGAAGGCCUGCAGCUUCACUCCUGAAGCCAGCGAGACCACGAGCCCGCCGGGAGGAACGAACAACUCCAGAUGUGCCGCCUUAAGAGCUGUAACACUCACCGCAAAGGUCUGCAGCUUCACUCCUGAGCCAGCGAGACCACGAACCCACCAGAAGGAAGAAACUCCGAACACAUCCGAACAUCAGAAGGAACAAACUCCAGACACACCACCUUAAGAGCUGU
rnacentral:lncRNA from 1 species